rnacentral:lncRNA from 1 species
GUAACUGAUUCAAUGCUUUUGAUACUGGGCUCGGGGCCGUAGGUAAGUGAUGGGAGCACAUUGACAAUGGCCCAGGCUUGGAAGUUGGGGGUUGGAACACUUAAAUGGGCAGUCUCGGUUGUUGACAGGUAGUUUUGGUCAUGAUCUUUGUUGCUGGGGAUAAUUGAUGAUUAGUCAGGGGGUGAGAGCCUUGGAUACUGAAGCAGCGAGUUUGGAAAAUUGGUGAAGCACCUCGCAUACUGAAAUCGUGGCUGUAGGUAAUGGCUGGUGUUUCUGGGAUACUGAUCUGUUGACUGCUGAUAGCUGGUGUAGGGUCUUGGAUACUGACCUGGUGAUUGUGAAUAAUUGGCAAGGGGUCUUGGAUACUGACCAGGCGAUUGCUGCUGGCUGGUGGAGGCUGUUGGAUACUGACCCCGUGACUGUUCCUGGCUGGUGGAGGGUCUUGGAUACUGACCCGGGAAUUGUAGUUCUCAUCCAUAUGAGCAAGGGCUUCAUGUUACUGGCCGUGGCCCUGUGCUGAGUCCUCCUCCCGCCCAUGGCCCUCUCCUCCUGGCCAGUGGUCCUCCGCCUGAACAUGGCCGACUUUGUCUUCAGUUUCCUCUGCCUCGGCAUUGGGCUCCUGAUUUCUCUUCAGCCUGACGCUCUUUUCAGUUAACGGCAAGGCGGUGCACCCAAGUCCGGUGGUGUCCUACCUGGUGACCUCCUACCUGUGCUGGGACGCCAGCGACUUGAUGCUGCACUCCGUAGGGUGGGACUCGGAGUACAGCGGCCCACCUAGCCAUCUCCCAGGAGCCGUGUCCUACCUAAGCCCAGUGGGCAUGUGAAGCAGAGGGCAGCCCUUGAAUGCGCGGCGGCUGAGCUACCGCGGGUGGGCCGUGCAGCAGGGCGCAGCGAGGCGGACAUCCAAACAGCGGAACUCAGACGCUGACUCCGAGCGCACCCCGGGCCUUCCCAUUUCAUACACCCUCGAGGAUGAGACCCAAGCACCUCCAAGGAAUAGCACCCGAGGUCUUCAGGACACCGACCGGUAGCCAUGGCCAGAUGCCCGGCCAACCCCUUCAGCGUGGCCACGCCCUGGAUAUUCGACCUCCCCUGAGGCCCCACCCCCUGAUAUCAGGCCACGCCCUCCGAGGGGACCGGUGGCAAACUCCAGCCCUCGCUCUAGGGCCCGCCCUUUGCGGCUUUGUCCCUGCCCACUGGGUCCUCACAGUACCUCCACCCCAGAGGCCCAGCAUCCCCUCCCGUUCUGCAGACACUUGUCCAGCGUCCCGCUGAGCUCGGCAGUGUGGCUAGUUUGUGUGGCCCUGCCCCUGGUGCCCAGCCAGGGUGGUCUGCAUGGAACUUCUUUCCCGGAGUUCCGGCCUCAGCUCCGAUGUCCACCCUUGUCCCCAGGUGGACACAGCACCGCCCAGCAUUUGGUGCAACUCCACCCUUCUGCAGAACGGGCCCCUCCCUGGGAAGGCAUGGCUUGCAAUAACAUCCCUCUGUACCUUUUCUGGCUUCCCCGCCACAAUAAAACCUCUCAGCCUCAGACCUUCCAUUGCCCCCCACCUCCCCACCAGGGCAGGGUCCAUCCUAGUGUGAGUGAACUGUUCUGGCGUCCCUGACUUGCCCUUUGGGA